rnacentral:rRNA from 1 species
UGGAUCCAGACUUUGAUCAUGGCUCAGGAUAAACGCUGGCGGCGCACAUAAGACAUGCAAGUCGAACGAACUUAAUUGAUUCUUUUAGAUUCAAAGCGGUUAGUGGCGGACUGGUGAGUAACACGUAAGUAACCUACCUAUCAGAGGGGAAUAACAAUGAGAAAUCAUUGCUAAUACCGCAUAAACUAGUAGUAUCGCAUGAUACAGCUAGAAAAGGAGCAAUCCGCUGAUAGAUGGACUUGCGUCUGAUUAGCUAGUUGGUGGGGUAAAGGCCUACCAAGGCGACGAUCAGUAGCCGAGCUGAGAGGCUCUACGGCCACAUUGGGACUGAGAUACGGCCCAGACUCCUACGGGAGGCAGCAGUCGGGAAUUUUGCGCAAUGGAGGAAACUCUGACGCAGUGACGCCGCGUAUAGGAAGAAGGUUUUCGGAUUGUAAACUAUUGUCGUUAGGGAAGAAAUUUGACAGUACCUAGGAGGAAGCUCCGGCUAACUAUGUGCCAGCAGCCGCGGUAAUACAUAGGGAGCAAGCGUUAUCCGGAUUUAUUGGGUGUAAAGGGUGCGUAGACGGGAAUACAAGUUAGUUGUGAAAUCCCUCGGCUUAACUGAGGAACUGCAACUAAAACUAUAUUUCUUGAGUGUUGGAGAGGAAAGUGGAAUUCCUAGUGUAGCGGUGAAAUGCGUAGAUAUUAGGAGGAACGCCAGUGGCGAAGGCGACUUUCUGGACAAUAACUGACGUUGAGGCACGAAAGUGUGGGGAGCAAACAGGAUUAGAUACCCUGGUAGUCCACACUGUAAACGAUGGAUACUAGGUGUAGGGUGUAUUAAACGCUCUGUGCCGUCGCAAACGCAAUAAGUAUCCCACCUGGGGAGUACGACCGCAAGGUUGCAAC